GCUUCGGUCACCAAGAAAGGAUGUACCGAAUUCCAAAGAGUGUCGGGCCUUAUCGGGCAGCUGCUUCUACAGGCGCGAGGACACGAGGCAGCGCCGCGCCGGUCCGUGAAGAAAAAGAAAGAAAAAGGAUCUUUAAGUAAGAAAUGAAAAGGAUCUUGCAAUGGGCUAUACAUAACCAGGCUGGGGGAACAAAAGACUCCAGCCAUGGUAACCGUUUGCUACAUGUGCUAAUUUCCUGAUAUUAGUAACCAAUGAUCGUGUGAUUGUUGCAUGUUCCCAGUGUGUAUAGCUAGCGAGUGCCAUUUAUAUGACAAUGCAGAGAGUAUAGUACAGUAAUUUUUAAAUCUUCAAUUCUACCUUAGGAAGCAGGCAGUGUCUUUUUCUUGUGCAAGAAAACAACUUAUAUCUAUACUUGCUUCAAAAUAGUAAGAUUAGUGUAAAUAUCUUGAUUGAUUUCUUGGCCAUGACACUUCCCUAAGUAUGAUGUAGUCUUUGCUGUUCAUAAUAGAAAAUCACAUCCUCUCUUCAAUCUGAAAGGCAGAAAAUAACUUGCCAGUUUGAUGAUCCAUUCCUAUGACACAUUGUUUGAACAGUAAUAAUGCCUUUCAUGACUCAUGCAUCCUCAUUUUCCUUUAAAAUGAUACCUUUUCCUGUGUAAAAUCACAGGUAAACAUGCUUAUUCGAUGCCUAUCAGCCUGACAAUUUGUUCAGAGAGUGGAAGAUUGGUUCUGAAAGUUAUUGAAAUCUAUGCCAGUUCCUUCUUUCACUUUAUAUACAAAAUAUAAAGACUGAAACAGAAUUCAGAAGAUCACUAUAUUUCAUCACACUGUCUGACAAGAGAAUUACAAAGACAUAGUGGAAUUUUUAGUUCCAAGUGACUUUCUUUCAGAAAUAUAAGUGUUAGGUAAGGUUAUCUAGCGCAUAUUGGAUUUUGAUCUCUUUUGAGUUCCUCUUCUGGACUGGAGAUUAACACAGUAUUUUCUUUAAUGAAGUUGAAAGUCAUAUACUGUUUCUAGAGACAGCAUAGCCCAGUUUUGCAAAGCAGUUUAAUUUGUGCUUAAUUUUAAACCUCCACACGUCCGUGCUGAUUUUAGUACUUUCACUCACAUAUUUCAAAUCAAUAAAUGUUUUCCUGCACCAGGCACUUACCACUUCUAAUCCAGGAAUAUUGAAUAACUAAAAACCUCAGAGUCUGACCCAAAGAAUAUGCAAUCAGAGAAAGGAGUCCUAAAUUCUAACAUUUACAAAUGUCAUCUGUGAACUUUGCAAUAGCUGCUCGCAUUUGGAGAACGACAUAUCUUGCAACUUACAUAUAUACACAUUCAAACUUCAAUAACAGAAAAGGAAAAAUAAUCAAAUGUAAUAACAUCUGUAUUUUUUCAUAUGUUGGUGUCAUCUUGUUUAUGUGAGCAGAAACAAUAGUCAAUUUAGAAAGUAAUCAAAAGGAAGAGGUAAAAAAGUACAAUAUAGAGGCAGGAAAUAUCCAUGCCAAUUGGAGGAGGUUUUCUUCUUUGGGAAUCAGCUCAUUUUUAUACUGGGAAAAGAUGCAGAAAUGAUCUUACUUUGACAGAAAGUAUAUUUCCCUUGAAAUCCAGAGGUAUUGAAAAAUAAACCAGAUCAGAAUCACUGUUUAUGCUGAGUCUCAUGAAAGUAGACACAUUCCAAUAACAUUACUAAUCUAAAAAUAUGUUUAAAUAAUAGCAUUGAUCUAAGUUCAGAGAAGAAAUAAUUUUGGACACAAUGUUCAGAGCAAGUGGUUAGGUAACACAACACCCUAUUUUCAUAUCAUUAAUGUUAAUAUUAUGAUAGUAUAUGGUAAUAUGUGUUAGUCUGUGAAGAAACAAGAAACUGUAGCACAGAUAAGUUUAAAAUUAGUGUAAAUUUAUUUAGGUAAGAAGCUGCUCAGGAAAGAAUGAGAUAAAGAGUUUGCUGA